UACGAAGGGGGCUAGCGUUGCUCGGAAUUACUGGGCGUAAAGCGCACGUAGGCGGCUUUCUAAGUCGGGGGUGAAAUCCUGGAGCUCAACUCCAGAACUGCCUUCGAUACUGGAAAGCUCGAGUCCGGGAGAGGUGAGUGGAACUGCGAGUGUAGAGGUGAAAUUCGUAGAUAUUCGCAAGAACACCAGUGGCGAAGGCGGCGUUCUGGACUGUUACUGACACUGAGGAACGAAAGCCAGGGGAGCAAACGGG
rnacentral:rRNA from 1 species